AUGCCUGUUCUGUGCAGGCUGUCCUGCUCACCAUCAACUUCAAGAUGGACAAAGAACAAAAGUGACCUGCCUCACAUCCCUUUUGGAAGGACGCACACUUCCAGAUCCUGUUUGACAAAUUCAGGCCAAGGGCAGGUGCUCUCGACAGAGAGAUUGCUUCCUCCUCCGAACUGCAUCUUUCACAGUCAUCAGCUGAGCCAGGUGGUCCCAGCCGGGCCAGGGAGCCGCACCGAUGCAAAGCCCCCGCCUCCUGAAUCCUCAAGCAGCAUCGGCAAAACACAGAACCUGAAGCGAUGGGCGGAGUGGUGCAGAGUUGAAAAUGUUUCCGUACCGGUCGUGUUACGGAUGCGGAGAGCAAGGUGGGGGCCAAAGGGAGGGAGAAGACAGGCCUAAUCCGGAAAAGGUGGGCUCUGGGCAUUGCCCUCCCCUCCUGGCUCAUGUCAUCUCCCCUGAGCUGGAUGCCAAGCUGGCACACACGUUUUCAGAGAUAACAGGAUGCUUGAAGGCUUCAGAAUGAAAAUGACAGUCUUCAACUGCACACUUGGUGGCAGAGGCUGCCUGCGUCUGCUCUCGGCCAGAUGCCCUCCCAACCAGGAGCCUCCCCUGGGCAGCUCUCACCUCGCCCACGACGUCUCAGAAGCCAGCAGGCUCGGGUUUGGGGCUGUGCCUGUACAGGGAUUCUUCUCUGGAAGGCCUGCUGGCUUAAGAUGACUCCCCUCAAAAAGGAGCAGUUGCUGAAGCCUUUGAAAGACAAUGGUCCGCACCCCUUAAUCAGCAUCCCUUAAUUCGAGAGAGCUUGAAAUUAAAAUAUUUACACAUGUUAUUUUUCUCUUUCCUCUCUCCUUUUUUUUUUUUUUUUUUUUUUUUUAAGUAAACAGAGUUGUCCUUAUUUGCGUGCCCAGGUUUUUAAUCGGACCACUCCCUGCGUUUUGGGUCUUUGGCAGCAGGGCCGUGCAGGGUGGAGGAAGUCUGGUCUGUCUCCUCCUCCGCCGGGCAGAGCAAAUGCCAGGAGAAGCCAGAGAGAUCUUUCUAGAGUGGGAGAAACAAGAUAGCGGAGACCAGCCAAACUGCCCCUGGUGUUCGAGUUGGGCAUGGAAGGGCUCACACCCUGCCGGCUUUGGAAGGGAACAGGGGGCCAUAGGCGACAUGGGAUUUUGAGGAGGAUUAUGGCUACCUUGAAAGCAAUCAUGGGCAGAAGAUUCUAGAAAUCUAGGUCUUUUUUUUCCCCACAUUGAUUAGAGCUUGAAAGAAGUCUCUGUAUGUUCUGAGUAUGGUGUUGCUCUCGGCUCACCGUUGAGUGAGCGCUAGCCUGUGCUCCAAAGUGAGAUACAGAAAAUAGAGAUGUUUCUUGGCACAUGGAACCGUCAGGAAGUGGGAAAGGGCUUCGAGAUUUAUCCUUAAGUUGCAAACCAGUGAUCUUGGUUGCUCGUGUCUUCGUUCCUUCUGGGCGGAUGCAAGCUCAACAAGAGUUUAAAGUAAUAAUAAUAGCACUUACUGAAUAUUGAGCACAUACCACUGCCAGGCAUUAUUUGGACUGUAACCUGCCCGACUGAAUGGGGUGGGGGUGCACUCGUGGUGCCCGAGUUGCAGAUGCAGGAACGGAUGUAGAGCUCUAGCUAACGCCCCAUGGUCGUGCGGCUCUCAGAGGCUGAGCGGGAAUCCGGGAUCCCCCUCCCUUGGGAUGGGGGCAGUCAGUUCCCGCAGCCUCUGCCAAAUGAGAUGGCUUUAGAUGUUUUCAAAGCCCCUCCCAGGCCUUGCUUCAGUCAGUGCAAAUCCUCCCUCCCGCUUCCACUAGCCCUGCCUCAAGAAAGGGGCAUCCACGCUACUGACGCUGCCCGAGGCAAAGGAGAGGUGGCAUUUAACACCCAGCACUGCCUCUCACACCCCUUCCUGGGUGCUUGGAGGGGAACCUUCACACUCUGAGCAAAAUACGUGGGUUCCUGCAGGCAGAGGGCCUUGGUGGCGAUCUCCACAGAUGAGGCCUGCACCUUAACACGGUGUAGGAACAACCCUGAGAUGCCAGAAAAGUCAGCCAAACACCGAUGAACUCUGAAGACACUGCAGUAAGUGAAAUCAACCCGACACAGAAGGACGCAUACGGUGCAGUCCACCCCCACCAGCCCAAGAAGUACCUAAAGCAGUCAAAUCCAUCAAGACAGAGAGCAGAACGGUGGCUGCUGGAGGCUGAGGGAGGGCUGGGGGUGGGGGGAGCUAGAGUUUGAUGGCUGAGGAGUCUCAGUUUGGGAAAAAGUUCUGGAAGUGGAUGGUGCUGAUGGUGGUGCCAUGUGCAUGCACUUAGUACCACCGAGCUCCAUGCUUAAACAUGGUUAGAACGGCAGAUUUUCUGUUACGUGUAUCUCACCACAAUAAAAAAGAAAAUAAAUGAGUAUCUCCA
rnacentral:lncRNA from 1 species